rnacentral:rRNA from 1 species
AGUGAACGCUGGCGGCGUGCCUAAUACAUGCAAGUCGAACGCAGUGGCGCACGGGUGAGUAAUAUAUAGUUAAUCUGCCCUACACAGAGGAACAACAGUUGGAAACGACUGCUAAUACCUCAUAGUGUAGGAUGAGACUAUAUCGUAUCAGCUAGUUGGUAAGGUACUGGCUUACCAAGGCUAUGACGCGUAACUGGUCUGAGAAGAUGAGCAGCAAAAUUGGAACGGAGGCACGGGCCGAGCACCUACGGGAGGCAGCGGUAAGGAAUCUUGCGCAAUGGGGGAGACCGUGACGGGGCAACGCCGCGUGAAGGAUGACACUUUUCGAAGCGUAAACUCCUUUUAUCAGGAAAGCGGUACCUGAUGAAUAAGCACCGGCUAACUACGUGCCAGCCGCCGCGGUAAUUC